rnacentral:rRNA from 1 species
AGAGUUUGAUCCUGGCUCAGGACGAACGCUGGCGGCGCGCCUAACACAUGCAAGUCGAACGAGCGAGAGAGAGCUUGCUUUCUCGAGCGAGUGGCGAACGGGUGAGUAACGCGUGAGGAACCUGCCUCAAAGAGGGGGACAACAGUUGGAAACGACUGCUAAUACCGCAUAAGCCCACGGCUCGGCAUCGAGCAGAGGGAAAAGGAGCAAUCCGCUUUGAGAUGGCCUCGCGUCCGAUUAGCUAGUUGGUGAGGUAAUGGCCCACCAAGGCGACGAUCGGUAGCCGGACUGAGAGGUUGAACGGCCACAUUGGGACUGAGACACGGCCCAGACUCCUACGGGAGGCAGCAGUGGGGAAUAUUGCACAAUGGGGGAAACCCUGAUGCAGCGACGCCGCGUGGAGGAAGAAGGUCUUCGGAUUGUAAACUCCUGUUGUUGAGGAAGAUAAUGACGGUACUCAACAAGGAAGUGACGGCUAACUACGUGCCAGCAGCCGCGGUAAAACGUAGGUCACAAGCGUUGUCCGGAAUUACUGGGUGUAAAGGGAGCGCAGGCGGGAAGACAAGUUGGAAGUGAAAUCCAUGGGCUCAACCCAUGAACUGCUUUCAAAACUGUUUUUCUUGAGUAGUGCAGAGGUAGGCGGAAUUCCCGGUGUAGCGGUGGAAUGCGUAGAUAUCGGGAGGAACACCAGUGGCGAAGGCGGCCUACUGGGCACCAACUGACGCUGAGGCUCGAAAGUGUGGGUAGCAAACAGGAUUAGAUACCCUGGUAGUCCACACCGUAAACGAUGAUUACUAGGUGUUGGAGGAUUGACCCCUUCAGUGCCGCAGUUAACACAAUAAGUAAUCCACCUGGGGAGUACGACCGCAAGGUUGAAACUCAAAGGAAUUGACGGGGGCC